rnacentral:rRNA from 1 species
GGAAAUCUCACCAGGCCCGGACACUGGAAGGAUUGACAGAUUGAUAGCUCUUUCUUGAUUCGGUAGGUGGUGGUGCAUGGUUGUUCUUAGUUGGUUGAGUGAUUUGUCUUGUUAAUUCCGAUAACGAACGAGACCUUAACCUGCUAAAUAGUGACGCGGUUCAUCGAACCGUGGGCCACUUCUUAGAGGGACUAUCGGAUUCAAACCGAUGGAAGUGUGAGGCAAUAA